GACGAACGCUGGCGGCGUGCUUAACACAUGCAAGUCGAACGGAAAGGCCCUGCUUUUGUGGGGUGCUCGAGUGGCGAACGGGUGAGUAACACGUGAGCAACCUGCCCUUGACUUUGGGAUAACUUCAGGAAACUGGGGCUAAUAUCUGAUAGGAGCUUCUGCUGCAUGGUGGGGGUUGGAAAGUUUCGGCGGUUGGGGAUGGACUCGCGGCUUAGCAGCUUGGUGGUGGGGUAGUGGCUUACCAAGGCUUUGACGGGUAGCCGGCCUGAGAGGGUGACCGGCCACGUUGGGACUUUGAUCCGGCCAAGACUCCUACGGGAGGCAGCAGUGCGACAUAUUGCAGAAUGGGCAGAGGCCUCAUGAAGAAGCGCCGCCUGCGGGAUGACGGCAUUCAGAUUGUGAACCGCUUUAGCCUGUGACGAAGCGUGAGUGCCGGUAAUGGGUAAAGAAGCACCGUCUAACUACGUG
rnacentral:rRNA from 1 species